rnacentral:rRNA from 1 species
AAGGUAGCAUAAUAAAUUGACUUUUAAUUGAAGUCUAGAAUGAAAGGAUUAAUGAAUAUAAUCUGUCUUAUUAAAAAGUUUUUGAACUUACUUAUUAGGUGAAAAUACCUAAAAUAUGAUUUAAAAGACGAGAAGACCCUAGGAGUUUAUAAUUUUGUUGGGGUGACAGUAUAGCAAAUUUAACCUAUAUUAUAAUAUAAUGUAACGAUUUUUAUUAUAAAAAUUAAGCUACCCUAGGGAUAACAGCAUAAAGUUUAUGACCUCGAUGUUGGACUAGGGAUUUUAAUAUUAAAUAUAUUAUUUGACUUGUUCUGUUCGAACAUUUAUACCU